UGCACUUCACCCCAAGUCCCGGGGCCGCAGACCCACCUCUUCCUCCAGAGUGCCACCGGAGCCCGAGCCCGUGCCCGUGCCCGUGCUGGUGCUGUGCUCGCCGUCCGGCUUCAGAUGGAAGCCUGAAUGGAAGCCUAAAUGGAAACCUAAAUGGAAGCCUAAAAAAUAGGAGAUAUCUUUCCCAGUGACACAUUCCUUUAAUAAAUUGUUGAACACCUA